rnacentral:rRNA from 1 species
AGAGCGAACGCUGGCGGCAGGCCUAACACAUGCAAGUCGAGCGCCCGUAGCAAUACGGGAGCGGCAGACGGGAGAGUAACACGUGGGAACGCGCCCUUCGGUUCGGAAUAACUCAGGGAAACUUGAGCCAAUACCGGAUACGCCCUUACGGGGAAAGAUUUAUUGCCGAAGGAACGGCCCGCGUCCGAUUAGCUUGUUGGUGAGGUAAUGGCUCGGCCAAGGCGACGAUCGGUAGCUGGUCUGAGAGGAUGACCAGCCUCACUGGGACUGAGACACGGCCCAGACUCCUACGGGAGGCAGCAGUGGGGAAUAUUGGACAAUGGGCGCAAGCCUGAUCCAGCCAUGCCGCGUGGAUGAUGAAGGCCCUAGGGUUGUAAAGUCCUUUUAACGGGGAGAUAAUGACGGUACCGUAGAAUAAGCCCGGCUACUUCGUGCCAGCAGCCGC